rnacentral:miRNA from 1 species
AAUGUAGAAAAUGAACGGUAU